GACGGGGGAUGCAAGUGUUAUCCGGAAUCACUGGGCGUAAAGCGUCUGCAGGUGGUUUCCUAAGUCCACUGUUAAACCUUGAGGCUCAACCUCAAAUCUGCAUUGGAAACUAGGAGACUUGAGUAUAGUAGGGGUAGAGGGAAUUUCCAGUGGAGCGGUGAAAUGCGUAGAUAUUGGAAAGAACACCGAUGGCGAAGGCACUCUACUGGGCUAUUACUGACACUCAGAGACGAAAGCUAGGGGAGCGAAAGGG
rnacentral:rRNA from 1 species